rnacentral:tRNA from 1 species
UACAUUUUAGUAUUAUAUGUACAAAAGUUUUUGAAACUUUAAGAAUUAGAAGAAUUUAUCUAUUAAAUGUAA